AGCGAACGCUGGCGGCAGGCUUAACACAUGCAAGUCGAGCGCCGUAGCAAUACGGAGCGGCAGACGGGUGAGUAACGCGUGGGAACGUGCCUUUUGAUUCGGAACAACACAGGGAAACUUGUGCUAAUACCGGAUAAGCCCUUACGGGGAAAGAUUUAUCGCCAAAAGAUCGGCCCGCGUCUGAUUAGCUAGUUGGUGAGGUAACGGCUCACCAAGGCGACGAUCAGUAGCNGGUCUGAGAGGAUGAUCAGCCACACUGGGACUGAGACACGGCCCAGACUCCUACGGGAGGCAGCAGUGGGGAAUAUUGGACAAUGGGCGCAAGCCUG
rnacentral:rRNA from 1 species